GACGUAGGAUGCAAGCGUUGUCCGGAUUUAUUGGGCGUAAAGAGUUCGUAGGUGGUUUGUUAAGUCUGAUGUUAAAGACUGGGGCUCAACCUCGGAAAUGCAUUGGAUACUGGCAGACUUGAGUGUGGUAGAGGCAAUCGGAAUUCCAGGUGUAGCGGUGAAAUGCGUAGAUAUCAGGAAGAACACCGGUGGCGAAGGCGGCUCGCUGGGCCAGUUCUGACACUCAUCCGCGAAAGCGUGGGGAGCAAACAGG
rnacentral:rRNA from 1 species